UGGGGGCCUGUUGGUUCUCCCGCAACGCUACUCUGUUUACCAGGUCAGGUCCGGAAGGAAGCAGCCAAGGCAGAUGACGCGUGUGCCGGGAUGUAGCUGGCAGGGCCCCCACCC
rnacentral:SRP_RNA from 1 species